UGAAAAGGGGGAGAGACACCCCAUCAUGUACCUGAACAAGAAGUUGCUACCCCGGGAGCAACACUAUGUGGCCAUCGAGAAGGAAUGCCUGGCCAUGGUGUGAGCCCUCAAGAAACUAGAGCCCUAUCUCUUCGGGCAACACUUCACCCUGUACACCGACACUCUCCCCUGACCUGGCUGCACCAGAUGAAAGGAGCCAAUGCCAAACUCCUGAGGUGAAGCCUGCUCCUGCAGGAUUAUGACAUGGACGUGAUCCACGUGAAGGAAAGUGCCAACAUGAUAGCAGAUGUGUUGUCCUGGAGAGGGGGUCCUGAACUUCCCCGGGUCACUGAUUGGAGGAGGAGGAGACU